ensembl:lncRNA
GCCUUGUGCUGGGAGUGAGCCCGAUUGCAAUUGUUGUUUGUCUAAUAAAUAUACUUAUAUGCAGCUCCGGAGUCCUGAGGUAACUAGGGUGAAUUUUCACCUAUCAUAUUUGGGGGCUCGUGACCGGGAUUCCAACAACCUCAACGGCUCUCCACGCUGGGCUAAUCAUCAGGACCUGAAUCAUACGGAGGAGUAUGAGACUCUGUUUUUCUAAAGACCUCCAACUUGAAUUGGAAGGAGGCCAGGGCCUGCCAGCGAGGAGAGCCGAGAGUGAAGGAAUUGAAUUAGACUAUAGGGGUUGGACUCCGAGCUGUUUGUGAGUAUAUUGUUUGUUUGUUGUGUGUGCACGCUAGUAUAGUUUUUUGGGGGGUUGAGACUAACUUUUGUUAAUUUUAACUUGCACUAUUUUUAUUAUUUCUCUGUAAAACUGUUCUAAGGGUACCAUGGCACUGUGUGGCUUCAAUAUAUCACAUGUUAUUCUCACAGAUAUUUCCCUAACGAAUGUUCUAGUCCCCUGGGCGCAGUCACCUUCCUUAAGCCUGUAAAAGAGAGCUAGUGUCUCUCCCGAAGCCCUGAAGCGCGUCCGGUGGAAGAAGACGAGAAGGCCUCUGAAGGAAGGGUAUAGAAGGAAGGGUGGCCUCUGGGCGCAGAAACAUAGCUAGGGAAAAUAUUUAACAGGGUAAGGCGGAUUCUAUGAAGCAGCACUAUGGUUCUGACUGAGCUUAAGACCAUGCAGAAGGGUUUUAUUACUUUAAUUAUUUGUAUUCCUUUUAUCAUGAUUUUAGUAAUCCAAGAAAACUAUCGGAACAUCAGGUUCUGAUACGAUGUUGAUAAUUUUUUUUUACUCCAUGUAUUGCUCUUGCUGCUUGCUUUUAUUGAUUUUAUGUAAAGCAACUGCAACAACCAUCUGACACACACACAUGCAAAAGACCCGGGUUUCAUUGGAAAAUCACAAAGCAGACAAGGCCACUAACCAGGCCGGACUGCAACAACCAUCUGACACACACAUGCAAAAGACCCGGUUUCAUUGGAAAACCACAAAGCAGACAAGGCCACAAACCAGGUUGCACUACAACCAUCUGACACGUACACAAUUGAAGAAUUAGAUCUCACAAUAUUAAAAGAUAUGCUGCAAUAUUGAGCCAUGGUGAAAACAUGCCUCAAUAAGUGGGGAUAGUAAGCAUAUAUUUGUACGUUAUAUUUCAUGAGAAAGAUGUUUAAUCAUUCAUUAUUGAUUUUAUUGAGUUAAAUCCCAACGAAAGAAAGAAAUAUUGUCUAGCCAUAGACAAUCACUGUUCAUUCAACCCCCAGUCAGCCGGACUGGUAGAAAAGAAUGAACCAAACUAUUCAAAGCGAUUUGAGAAUCCAAGAGUGAAAUUAGUGAUAUUAAGCAUGCAUGUUGUUAUCACUGUUUGAAAUGAUGUAUGGAAGAAUCUACACUGCCUAAACUCUCAAACCAUUUGCUGAAACAGACUAAGAGAUUGAAUAUACAUUUGCAGAAUAUAUGGCAAAAAUGUGAAUUAGCAAAAUGCUCUCAGAACUCUCUGUGCUCCGCAGGAACCUGUGAGGCUGAAACCAAGGUUGGGUCGGGAGAUUGGGUCCUAAUCAACAGCCUCAAAAGAAAACACUGCCACUUGCCCAAGUGGGACAGACCAUACAAAGUGCUACUGUCAACAUCUACCACAGUCAAAAUAGCGGAGAGAGCCACCUGGAUACAUCUAACACCAGAGGUGUAAAGUAACGAAUUACUUUUACUCACGUUACUGUAAUUGAGUAGUUUUUUUGUGUACUUUGUAAUUUUUAAGUAGUUUUUUAAAUCGGUAAUUUGACUUUUACUUAAGUAGAUUUUGACUGAAGUAUUGUACUUCGCUACAUUGGAAAUUACAUCCGUUACUGAGUAAAAAAAAAAACAUAGUUCAAGGCAGGAAUCGCGCACCACAAUGCUCACUGCAGUGGUGGAUGCUGCAUAGAGUGGAUGAUGGAGUCGAUGCAAGGCGCCAGUAUGGUGCCGAGUCACGAGAGAUAGAUAUGGAGGAAGAUGAUAGUGCGGACUACCAACAAGCUGCGGAUCACCAACAAGCUGAAGCACCGAACUUUCCGCCAGUUGAAAUGAAAGAAGAUGAAGAAAACCUGUGGCCACAUCUCAGCAAGCAGUUUGCCUUCCAACGUAAAAGAGGCAACAGCUAUAUGCUGUGUAAACUGUGCCUAAUCCGUCAGUCAGAACUUUCUGCUUAUACAAAUUCAUCUUCAAAUCUGCGCAAGCAUGUGUUGGUCUAGUCUAUGUCAGACAACACCUUGACCGGAUGUUGGAGGCUGGAGCAAGUUGGACAACAUUCAUCAGAUGAAGAUGAUUUAUUUUCCUCAAUGAAGUCCAGAAGGUCAGAAGGUACAGGGGAGUUAGAAGGGUACCUAGCCUGUGUCUCAGUCAAUAUGGAUCUGCUGAACGCCUUUCAGAAUAUCAAAAAACUGUCCCUGAAACUCAAUACUGGCCUACCUGC